AUCCAACGUGAUUCCCUCUCCAAAAGGCCAGCUCACUCCCCAAUUCAGGAAGUAACAACUUGGAAUAAAAGCUGGUAUGCCAAAAAAAAAAAAAAAAUGCUGGUAUGCCUUAGGUUGUUGGAGAGGGGAUGUUUGCUUUGUGUUCCUUUGGUUGCCUACACAG